rnacentral:rRNA from 1 species
CCGACGGUGAGAGAUGAAAGCUAGGGGCACGAACCGGAUUAGAUACCCGGGUAGUCCUAGCCGUAAACGAUACUCGCUAGGUGUCGGCCACGGUGCGACCGUUGUCGGUGCCGUAGGGAAGCCGUGAAGCGAGCCACCUGGGAAGUACGGCCGCAAGGCUGAAACUUAAAGGAAUUGGCGGGGGAGCACCACAACGGGUGGAGCUUGCGGUUUAAUUGGAUUCAACGCCGGAAAUCUUACCGGGACCGACAGCAACAUGAAGGCCAGGCUGAAGACUUUGCCGGAUUAGCUGAGAGGUGGUGCAUGGCCGUCGUCAGUUCGUACUGUGAAGCAUCCUGUUAAGUC